rnacentral:rRNA from 1 species
GACAAACGCUGGCGGCGUGCUUACCUCUUGCAAGUCGAGCGAUGAAGCACCUUCGGGUGUGGAUUAGCGGCGAACGGGUGAGGAACACGUGAGGAAUCUGCCUUCCACUCUGGGAUAACUCCGGGAAACCGGGGCUAAUACCGGAUACUUUCAACUGGCGGCAUCGCCGGUUGAAAAAAGUUUUUCGGGGGAAAAUGACCUCGCGGCCUAUCAGCCUGUUGGUGAGGUAAUGGCUCACCAAGGCAACGACGGGUAGCCGGCCUGAGAGGGCGACCGGCCACACUGGGACUGAAACACGGCCCAAACUCCUACGGGAGGCAGCAGUGGGGAAUAUUGGGCAAUGGAGGAAACUCUGACCCAGCGACGCCGCGUGAGGGAUGAAGGCCUUCGGGUUGUAAACCUCUUUCAGCAGGGAAUAAGCGAAAGUGAAGGUACCUGCAAAAAAAGCACCGGCUAACUAUGUG